UAGGUCCAUUAUCCACUGCCUUGGUGU
rnacentral:piRNA from 1 species